rnacentral:rRNA from 1 species
UACGUAGGGAGCAAGCGUUGUCCGGAAUCAUUGGGCGUAAAGCGCACGUAGGCGGAUUGUUUAGUCAGGGGUGAAAUCCCGAGGCUCAACCUCGGAACUGCCUUUGAUACUGGCAAUCUCGAGUCCGGAAGAGGUGAGUGGAAUUCCUAGUGUAGAGGUGAAAUUCGUAGAUAUUAGGAAGAACACCAGUGGCGAAGGCGGCUCACUGGUCCGGUACUGACGCUGAGGUGCGAAAGCGUGGGGAGCAAACAGG